CAUUUUGUCUACAGUGCUUGACUACAAAGGUUUUGGGGACAAUUCAUGCUUUUAACGUAGAAGUGGUAUGAGUUUUCUAUCAGCAAGCUUUGUACCCUGAAGGUCUCCUGAGUGUACUGAUGCCAUCCCCUCCAGGAAAGGUAGCACAAUGCCUAACUUAGCUGUUGGGCUGCAACACAACCUUCACUUUUGUCAUGGACUGCUAAUUGAAAACCCACUCAAGAUAAAGGAACUGAAUCUUUGCGUUGCAAGAGUUUGGGUCUGGUUUAUGGAAUGCUAUGGGAGUCCCAUGCCAGGGACAAUUCCAGCGACUGGAUGGUACAAACAAUUUAACUAUGGAGAUAAGGUACACUGUUGCACAAUGUUUAAUUCACCAGCACUGGAAUAAACGGGGGAUAGCCAAGACCCAGCCCAUGGAUGCAGAGCAAAGUGGCAUCUGGAUAAUGGAGUUUAAAAAAUACCAAGGCACAACAUUCUGUUUGGCUCUGCCUAUCAGCAGGAAUAUAUUUUCUUCAGGAAAACAGACACCAAUCUGCUGUGUCUUUCACUGGCACUGGGGGCUAGCACACAUUACCUUCAGUCCUUGGGCUACCUACAGUCUGUCCGUCUUCCAUUUAUUCUUUUAUGCAUCAUGUGAAAAACAUUUGUGUAAAAGCUCUCAUCAAGUGCACCAGUUGAAAAGAGGAGGAAGGAGCAUGGAAAUAAAUGCUUUUUCAAAAUUAAGGGUCGUCUAUAUUCAGUCAAUUCAAGAUCAUGUUCUCAGUUCUCUUCGUUCCUUGAGGAGGCACUGGGCUGUUUCAGAAACAUCUUUCAGUGCUUUGUGCAGUGCUGGUGUGUUGGGUUCGCAGUGCCAAAGGAUCCAUUCUUUGAGUUGCAGAAAGAAUCAUGGGGUUUUUUAUGUAAGUAAUAUGCUGAGAGGCCAAUUCUUAUUUAUGAAAAACUGAAGAUGUUUUCUACAUGAUCACUAAUACAGUGGUUGAAAAGGUUUGCUGUUUCUUUAUCACGGGAGAUUUCUUUUAUGGCAAAGUUUUAGUUAUGCAGUAAGAAUUAAUUUUGUUUCAGAUCAGCUUAAUAGAGGGAGAAGGGGUAGAUUUCUGAAAAGAUGCAUGUUUUCUGGACAUUGCAGAAAAUAUUACUACCUGAAAUGUAAAAAAGCCAUAUUGUGAACAGCUUUGGUAGGAUUUAGAGUAAAGAUGUCACAU
ensembl:lncRNA